rnacentral:lncRNA from 1 species
CCUCCCCCCCGAAAAUAUACCAUGAACUCUACAUACCUCAUCGCGACGAUACGCUGCCAAAAAAAGUAUUUGUCACCGACUUCGUUUUUGAGAAAAUGGUCCGAGAGGGUACUAAAUUAUAUUGAAUAUGCUAUGAAUUUCCAUCGUUCUUAGUGUUGAUUAUGCAUGAUGAUUAGGUGUUUUGUAUUGAUAUGUUCUUUUUAUCAUAAGGGUCUGGAUAGAGGGUCAUUCAUUUGUUAAUAUUUAUUUUGUGUUACCAAUAUUUUUUAUUCUUUAUAUUUAAGCUUCAUUCUCUAAUCUUC